UACGUAGGGUGCGAGCGUUGUCCGGAAUUACUGGGCGUAAAGGGCUCGUAGGCGGUUUGUCACGUCGUCCGUGAAAACUUGGGGCUCAACCCCAAGCUUGCGGGCGAUACGGGCAGACUUGAGUACUGCAGGGGAGACUGGAAUUCCUGGUGUAGCGGUGAAAUGCGCAGAUAUCAGGAGGAACACCGGUGGCGAAGGCGGGUCUCUGGGCAGUAACUGACGCUGAGGAGCGAAAGCGUGGGGAGCAAACAGG
rnacentral:rRNA from 1 species